GUAAAAAUAUUAUGAAGAGACGUGGUGGCAAGUUCGACUGGAGCAGCAGAAUGAGUAGCUGAUGUAGAUUAAAUGAGAGUCAGUACAAACGACAACACCCGCCAGAACAAAUAUCUGAACAACAAAUAUAACAUUUAUCGCAAGCUUACAAUCAUCAUCAGCAACAGUCUUAUUUAACUGUGAAGUAGAACAACAACCACUAGAGAAUGAAAUGGAGGAGGACAAGAGCAAUCAUAUUUUUCAACCUCGAAUUCAAACUGAAUCGUUGCCAGUUUACCACCAACAACAUAGGCAGCAGCAGCACUCAACAACUCAAGCAACAUCCUUUAGUCAUGGAAUGGCAUUUGAAACCACGUAUAAUCACACCUUUCAAAGUCUUUCAAUCGUUGAUGGCGACCUAACAGUAGCCGUUGAUACAAGUCAAAAUCUUAUGGCUGUUGAAGAGGAAAUGCUUGUGGCUGGUGCUGCGGUUGGUGUGGGCAGCAGUACCUUUAGUGUAGGCAAUCAUCUUCAUCUGAAUAACAGUAGUAAUGGUUUGGGAUCUACUGCCAUGAGACUAGAUGGUAUCGAUGUGGUACAUACAUAAUACCGAAACAAAUUCAAUGCCAAUCUCUGACUUUGGUGUACCAUGUACUAAACCAGCUCACACUGGUCACACAGAGGCGACAAUAAAAUGUCGUGUCGAUAGGCUGGUGACAGAAUCAAAAGAUUCUAGCGAAUGGACUCUACAUGUAAAAUCUCCGCAAGCACGUAAGCGGUAUUUAUGAGUGUCAAGUGAAUACGGAAGCAAAAAUUUCGAUGGCAUUUCGGCAUAAUGUUAUCGAAAUAUCACCAGAUACCAAGGCUGUUAUAACAGGACCAGCUGAUUUACAUUUUAAAGUUGACAGUACUUUCAUGUGUUGUAAACCAGUCGUUGGUUAAGGAUAUUGGUCCCAUCUAUUGGUAUCGUGUGCGAAUAUAUGAUUACUAUUUCCUAUGUUAAGUGUUACACCACCCACUGUGGUGGGGAAAAAUAAAUUUAAUGUUCUGGAACAAAAUCAUUUGCAGCACAGGCAACAGCUUCAUGAUGGUAUUUAUGGUGAUGGAGGUGGGCGUGCUGCUGCUGUUACAGAUUCUGAACAAAUACCACAAAUCUUAACAAACGAAAUAACACAACACAUUUUGCUCAACGCAUUGCUAUGGAAUCACAAUUGGGUGAUAACAUGAAAUCAAGAUAAAAAUCCAGCUGCCAUGCAAAAGGGUGGAGCUAGCCGUAUUCAUUACAAACGCAGUAAAACAUUUUUGAUGCGACAAUUGUUGUCGCUGUUGACGCAGCCUAUAUAUUAAAUAUAUGUGGUCAUUAAGGGGCAGGAGGUGGAAGUGCAGGAAAAAAGUCAUUAACAGUAAUAAAAGCGACAACAUCUGCAAUAAGAAGAAAUCUUGUAUUAUGUCAACUUGCCUAUGCUGUCAUGUGAUCUCUAAAAAUAUGCUGGAAGGCAUAAGAGAUUUAAUACGACUACAACUUUUACAUAACAAUCUGCCACCUCGGAAUAUUUACAUACCCAUUGCCACAUAUAAAAUACAACUUACGCAAAGUGAUGUUUAUUAUGUUGUUGUCUACAGGGCUAAUAUAGUUUUUGUUGCUAUUGUUGCUGAUGAUGUUGUUGUUUAUAUAAAUUGCACAAGUAGUGCAAGUGAUAUCGUAACUUUGCUGUUACAUGUAUCAGUAGUCGUAGUUCUAAGUCUAUUACUGUCAUUGAUAGUGAUGGUAGCGAUGUGCCUGUUUCUGUUGCUGGUUGUUCAGUUGUCAGUGGUUAUUCUUCGAGGCAGAAUAUUAAAGUUUCUAGAGGUUGGUGUGUUGCUGUAAACAAUUUAAAGGCAGUUAAUGUGUCAACAUUGAACGUGUCUUUACAUUAACAAAAGAAUAUCGCAUGAAUAUGAUGCAAGUGUGUUUUAAGCAUAGAUAUUAUAAAGCAGUAAAAAAACACUUGGAAAAUUCUUAUUUACAUAUAUAAAGACAUGAUAACCAGCCGACACAAUCUUACUUUAGGUUUUUAGAUUCAAAGUUUUAGAAAUGGUUGUGUUUAAGGGUUCUGUUGUUGCUAUUUACAUUUAGCACAUUUAGAUUCUAAAUUUAUUUUUGCUGCAAAUUGCUGACAUCAUUAUCACCAGGAUAAUAAUGAUGAUGCUAUGUUAUUCACAAAAACAUGAGGAUUAUUAUAAAGAUUAUUGCAUCUAUUUUCCAUCAGAAACAGAAAUAUCAGUAACAGCAAACUUUUAAAAUCAAAAGCAGCAAGAACAUUGUCAUUAUCAUUAACAUCUCCAUUAUCAUAAUCACGAACAGCUGCAUACUGCAACAGAAUAAUUUUUUUGAAAAUGUUCUAUUGGUAUUUCAAUAGAGCAUUGUAUUAGUUUUGAAUACUGUUACGAAUGAUUUAAAAAUUUCAAAUAAUUUUCCAAUAGCUAAUAUUAUAGUCUAAUCAAUUAAAUUUAGCACAAUUUUGUUGAAACAAACAUAUAAUUAAAGCCCACUUUAUAAAAUAGCUUUAACGUCUAUACCACUAUACAACAACUUUUGGGUCAUAGAAUCUUUCCCCAAUGAGACAAACGGAAAUGAAAGUAGACAAUCAAUAGAUCAAAUUCUAUAAAGGGUUCAAAAAGUUAGCUCGUAGUGUUAAUUCACAGGCAUUUGAAACUUAAAUAUUUUCAGGAAAAUUUUUACUUCCGGUUUCUCUAUAUGCGAAUGACCAUUUUCAUUCUUACAAAAUUUAUUGCAAACAACAAACAAAUGAAAACUAACUAACAUCAAGACAAACACAUUAUAUGAAUUUCUACCAAUAUAGUGGUUGGUAUAGGAUGUAAUACAGUAUUAUUUAUUACAGCGUAAUAGUUACAUAUAUAAUGUAUGUCAAUGCAUUUUCUUUUUUGUCGUUUCCAACAAUUUAAGUUGUUGCAUGCAAAUCACUGUCACGAUGUUGAGCAGCCUUUAAAUUGUGACUCAACAAGAACAGAAUAAAGAGAAUAUAAAUAUUUAUGUACAUAGUCAACUUAUUCAAAUUUGAAUUCCUUUAUAAAAAUGAAUAAAACAUGAGAGCGAAAAAGACGAGUAACCAAGCAAAAACAAAGGUAAUGCUUUGUGCAUAUUAAACAACAUACUUUUCAGAGACGACUUAUAUUAAAUAUAUUACAUUAAAGUGAUCUAGUAAUAUGAUUUAUAUGCAACCGUCUAGUUUUUACAAGAAUUUACUCCAUAGAAGUCAUUCUAAGGAAGUAAUUUUUAUGUUCUUUUUUUAAGUUUUAAAGUGAAAUUGUAGUAUUACAUUGAGUGCAAUUUUUUAUCCCAUCUUUUUUGAUGGUGGGUAUAUUGUUUUUGUCAUUCCGUUUGUAACACAUUGAAAUAUUCGUCCAAGACCCAUAAAAGUAUAUA